UGGUGGACUAGAAGCAGCUACUGUGCC
rnacentral:piRNA from 1 species